GGAGGCGGAGGCUUCUCGGAGGUUCCACGCGUGAGCGCGGACGCGCUGCGAGGAGGCAGGGCACCGGCGUGCCCGCUCGCAAACACGAAUCCACGUCGGCGCCGAGCGGACAGACGUCUGCUUUGACGCCACGCGACCCGGGAUGAAACAGCGACUGGCGGCGUCAGGAGCGAGAGCGGGCAGGCAGGGCAGGAGCGAAGGACCGACCCUCAGCUCCAUCUCCGAGGCGCGCGCGGCCCUGGAGGCUGCGUGCUGCGCCUUGCGCGUCCAUCCUGGGAUUUAGCCAAACGCCUCUUCCCGACGCCAACAGUAGGACCCCAUGAAUCAUCACACAGCCAUCGUUAGGGGGUAACAGGCUGCCGCUGACGAGAAUUCCACACACAAGCCCUGCCACCGCCCUUCAAAGCCCAGCUCCCAGGCAGGGGCAGCGAACAUUCCCUUUAUCCUCAUCUGCUGUCCAGGGACCAAGUCAGCACACCGUCUUCUGAGAACAUCACUCCUCCUAAAUGAAUGGGACUGUAUUUGCAGAGAGCGUCUCUAAAGAAGCAAUCAAGUUAACAUGAGGUCACAUGGGUGGCCUCUAAUCCAAUACGACUAGUGUCCUUCUAAGAGCGCGGACACUCACACAGGGAAGACCAUGUGAGGACGCAGGGGAAGACAGCUGUCUACACACCAAGGACAGGCCUCAGGAGAAGCCAACACUGCCGGCACCGCAACCGCAGACUUCCAGCCUCCAGAACUGUGAGAAAAUAAAUGUCUGUUGUUUAAGCUGCCCAGUCUGCAGCAUUUUGUUAUGGCAACCCUAGCCAAUUAAUACAUACUCAUAUAUUCCUCAAUAAAUGCAAAGGUGGCUUUAAAUUGGAGUUCAUGAUUCUGCCCUCAAAGUAUAGGAAGAUCAAAAUAUCUACAUGUAAAUUGAAGAAGACAAUUUUCGAGGGGGAAAGUCACUUUUACAUAAGUAGAAUUUGCAAGUGCCUCUGUCCAGUCCAUGCUUCUCAAAUCCAAGGAGAGUACAGGUGGGAUCAGACUUAGGGCAAGAGAAGGGGCCCCUCCGUCAUGGCUCACAUCAGUGAUGCCAGGAGUGAAGCGAAGGAGGGAGCCCUGGCGUUCCGAGAAAGCUCAUGAUGCCGACUCUACAGGACGCACUGCAAUCCCACUAAGCCAGACUGGUCCGUGUUGUUUUAUGGUGGCGACUUGUCUACUUGCAUGGACAUAUCCGUCCCACUUGAAAUAGCUUAUGGAGAAACAGUCUUCCAGUGAGUGAGGUGCUGACUUCUAUUGGGCAUCUAAUUAGUCCUACUGUUUAGGAGAGUAAACAGAUAAAUAAAAGAUUUGAGAUGGUAAACGUGACCAUAAUAUAUCAAGAUUAACACACUGACUGCCACACUAGAAAAAUAAAUUUUCCCUGGGGCCACAGUGUUUUAUUAAAACAAAGCAAUCCUUUCUAAUUUGUUACCUUUUUUAUUGUUUUCUGUGUGCGAGUUAUAUGCAAUAUAGUCCACAUUUUUAGAAUUAAAUUGUCAAUGUUAAUUGUAACAAUAAGAAUAUCAACAAGUAAGACUUCACAAACCAACUGCAGGGUUUUGUCUCACAAAGCCCUGGGCUCAAAACCAGCCUGAGUUAAACCCAACUCACAUGGCAGCCAAUGUGUUCAAACAACAGCAGCUUCCGGGAGGGCCCACCACAGGCCCUCCGAGAGCACUGCCUCCCGGUCGGGCUCAGCGCGGAGGCCCUCCCCAGGAAUUGCCCUCUGCCUACCUUUGUCCCUCUCUGGGGCAGCCUGGAUCUAGUGACUGCGGCAUGUGGGGUGCAGUGUUGGGCAAUUAGGAAGGGACGGUCCUACCCAGAGUCCAUUCUGGGCAGCCGGCUGUGGAGAAAGGACAACAGCUGUUCCUUGGGUGGCACCAGGUGGAAUAUGCUUCAACAACGAUUCAUGAAAGUGCCAAAGGGUGUUAAACAGGAUUCUAGGAUCCGGGGCAACAGGCAGUGUGCACCAGGGAGCCCCUGCCCGCCCCCUCCGACUCCGGCCCUGGCGGUCAUAGGGUACGUUUGCAUUCUUCUCUGGAAGUGAGAAGGCGAUGCGUAAUAACUUUCUUUAACUGCCAAGUAUGUGUUUUGGCCGGGAGCUGACAGGCCCUGGACUUAGACAAUUCUUAACAAUUCACCUCCCUAUUAGACUGUGAAUUGAUUCAAAUUAGACCUUCAAGUGAAAGCCUCUUAGUUAGAUGAUUUCCUAUUUCCCAUUGAUGUCUCUUUUCCCUGUACAAAGGCAUCUAGAAAUGAUCGGGUAUUCGGCCCUGAACUAGUGGCUCUGAGCAACGGGAAGUGAAAUAUAACCGAGUUAGCAGGCCAUGAAGCAGCUGUUGACUGGUGAGUGCCGGGAGUCAGAUGAAGAGAUGUCACCAGCCCAUUGCUGCAUUUACACCCUGUCAUGCAGACAACACAAGGAAAAAGAUGCAAAAUCUGGGUCGAUUUUCAAGAAGUCACCAAUGAUCACCACAGUGUGAUCCACAGCAGGCCUCUUCUUUCCUGCUCUCUUCCUAGUGCUUCCCAUCCUUUCUGGAUUUUGCACAAAUUUGCAUAAGUUUCUGCCAUUACUGCUCAACUCUAAUAAAAAAAUUCCAAAGCCCUUCCUAACCACUGCAAGCCAAAACUCUGGCAGCUGGAUUACAUGGCGCCCGUGUCAUCUGUGGGCAUUCAGAUCCACGGGCUGCGGAGUGUGGGCCUGUUUCUCCCUGUCCCCCCAUGUUUCCACUGAGCGUCUUUCCAUGCUCCAGGGAUACGACACAUUUCCUCCUCGGCACUUACGAAAGUGUAUUUCACGGAAGUGCUAUGUAGUGAAAGCUGAUUAAUGCACUAAAGGAAUGAUCUGGUUUAUUAUUUGUGAAUAUAUUAUUUAAGCCUUCCCACACGAUCCAGACAAAUUCCCGUUGGGAGCACACAUGUGCAUGCACACACACACACACACACACACACACACACACACACACGCCAGCAGCAGCAGCAGCUUCUCCCCUUCUGGGAGCUUCUCUGCUUCUGGCCACACAGGAUCUACAGGCAUAUUCUGCCCACGUGUUCAUUUGACUUCACUUUCUCGUGUGCAAAUCAAGACCAGAAUCAGUAGCUCAUGAAAGGAUUUCAAGAUGUUUAGCUUUCACAUGAGGAAGAAACACCGGAGUGUAGAAGCAGACUAGAUUACCAUGUUGCUCCCAUCUUCUCACCUACUGUUUAUCGAGUAAUGGAUAGUGACUGUCUGCCUUCAGGCUGCAAAUAGGAUGUCUGCUGACUGCAAGACGAUGCUUGAAAAAAAAGUAAUUUUUAAGUCUAUUUAAAUUUCCCCUAGAUCUCUUUAAUACAUUGGCUGCCACAUUAGAAAAAGAAUUUUUUCCCCUGGGGCUAUGAUAUUUUAUUAAAACAAAACAAUACUUUCUAAUU